UCAACUCUUCCUGACAGCCUUCAACCGCCCCUCUCUCUCCCUCUCGUCUUCCUCCUCUCCCUCUCUCCAACCGUCUCUCUCUCCCUCCAUUCUUUCCGGUGGAAAUCGCCACCUCCAAGUGGUGGCAGCCUCCUCUCUCUCCUCGCCCUUCUCCUUCCCUUCCCCUUCUUUCUCUCCAUUUUUUUUGUAGGCGAGAGCAGAGGACGACUCUGAGCAGACCACCGGCAGCAGCAGUCACCGGCGAGAACAGCCUGCGCAGCAGCAGCGCCUGGAGAGGCGCACGAUAGUAGCAGCAGCGGCCAGCAGACGACGACGACCAGCAGCUUGGUGAGGCCAUGGCAAGCAGCAGCUUCAAUCGACGAGCAACAGCAUCCGGCGACCCUCUUUCCUUCUCUCCUCUUCAGCGACCAGCAGCCCUGCAAAGCCAGCUUUGAAUUCGAUCUGCAGCUCCAGCGACACCAGCGCCACCAGCAACAGCCAGCAGUCGCCGGCGAGAACUCCUGCGCCAGCCAGCAGCCCCGGCGGCCGUCUGUCUCUCCUCUCUUCUCUAUUUCCUUCUCUCCUCUUCUCAGGCGAGCAACGACCCCCUCAGCAACAGCAACCAGCAGCCAACGCCGCCAUCCUCCAGUGGAACUCCGGCCAAUAGUCUUUGGUAACGUGUAUUAGCCCAUUACUUUAGCCGCAAAAACAGAUCAGUCCUGGUAAUAUUUCCCUAUUUCGCUUCCUUUAUCAUUUUUAUUCCUUGUCUACUUGUGUGAUCUCACAUAUUUUUUUAUUAUUAUUUUUAACUUUGUUGUUCAUGUUCUAGAAAUUCUGCUUGGUUAUGAUUCGUUAUGAAUUGAAUUGAGUUCUAAUAUGAUUAGAUUGCUUAUAAUGAUCUUUCAAUGAUAAAUACUCAUUUCAAUCUAAAUCAGCUCCAAAUUUGUUUGGUUCUUCCUAUUAAUUCAGUAUAUGUUUCACUAAUUUUCGUUUUCUUGAAGAUUUCCGCAUUCCUUGCAAUAUGUUAUUUUCUUAAAAUAAUACUAAAUUAGAGUCAUUUCAUGCAUUUAACUUGGCUUUAAAAAUAUUUCAUACCAAAACUUUGUAAUUUUCUUAAAAAGUCAUUAUUCAAUCUUCCUUUAAAAUUUUGGAUUGAUUUUGACAUUGUUUAUUUGAAAAUAAAUUACAAGUACUAUCUCCUAACCUAUCGUUAGUGGGAAACUCAAAGGAACUAUGAGGUCUAGUUCCAAAUUUUUUAAACCGACGCAUCCUCGGAAGUAUCACCUACCCAUGAAUUUCAAAAAGAAUUAUGUGCAUUUAUAUGUAAAUGUUUAUGUGCCUACGUGUGAACUAAAUCUUUUAAAUCAUUUUUUAAAACAUAACUAUUUUUUUUAUAUAUAGCGACCUCAAAUCAAAAUUGUUUCUAUGGUGGAGGAGCGCGAUCAAUAAUAUCGUGGCAUCAUCCCUAUAAAGAAACAAACAUUUUUUUAAAUAAAAAUUCAUAUUCAAAACAUGCUCAAUUUUCAAAACCUUACUUUCUCACAUAUUAGCUGUUUAAUAUUUAUAAAUUUUGUUUAUAACUUAGUCUCAUGCUUAAAAUAAAUAAAACUUGAUUGUUUAUUUAUUGUCAUUACCUAGCCUUACAUGCUUAAAUUAAUAGUAUUAAUUGUUUUAUAUUUGUUAUCACUUAGUAAGAUUAAAUAAAUUAAUAAAUUAAACGACCUUGAUUGCUACUUGUACCCCACAUAGAUUGCAUGAGAUACGGCCGGGACCCACACUUGUGGACCUCGAGGGAUGCCUAACACCUUCCCCUCGAGGUAAUUUGAACCCUUACCCUAAUCUCUGGCCCGUUGACCUUAGUUAGACUUAGUUAGGUUAGAUAGGCGCCCUAACGCGCCUUAAUUUGUUAGGUGGCGACUCCAAAACUCAAAAAUCCCAAAAGAGUUGUUAGGUCGUGCACAAAACCCGUUUUCCGCAAAAAUGGGGCGCGACAGAAUGGCGACUCCGCUGGGGAUAUUAGGUUCUUACCAUUACGUGUUUCAUGCUUAUUUAUGUGGGGUUUACUUUAUAUUGUUUAUUUCAUUAUUUGCUAGGUGUUUAUCAUAUUUAGUUAUUCUUUUAUUGCCUUAUUAAUUGUAUUCUUUUUAUGUUACACCCAUUUUCCCUCUUCUUAUUUGUUUAUUACCAUGUUUCAUUCUCCCAUUUUCCUUAUUUGUUUACUACAUUUAAUCCCUUAUCCUCUUGCCUUAUUUGCGUGAUUUUUAUUUUUACACCUUUAUAUGUUUAAAUUCCUUUUAUUUAUUUAUGCUAUUUAUUUAUUAUUUUAUAAAAUGCUUAUAUGUUAUCACUUUCCAAUUUAAAUGCUAAAUAUUUAUUGCUUUGAUAACUGACAUUCCGCUCAUAUUUCCCCAAAUUGGGACCCUCUCCUUUUUUCAUUUUUCGUGAUGUUGUGCCUUUGCACCUCUCACAACUACUCCAAUUCUAUUCAAAUACCCAUUAUAGAGAGUCGGCAUAUGCGUGGACGUAACGGAUAAUUUUACUACCGCGAAACCACGAGCCUCUCGCAUAGAAUCCCUUUCAAGUCUGUGUCAAGACAACUCUUAGAAGUCCUUGUUAGGUCAUACAUGUUGCAUAAACCCUAGGUGGUUUGACCCUUGGCGUCAAUCCAUAUAAUUAGUAGCCACCCUAUUGUCUAAAGGGCCCCAACACCCAUUAGACAAAUUGCAUAUUUAUGUGUCAAUUUGAUCAUCAUAUUUUAAAUCAAGUCAUUAUGUCAAAAUGGAGGUAAAAUCUUUCUUCGACUCUAAACUUCAAAUUGGCAAAGUAUAACUUGAUUCAAUUAUGUGACCUUAUUCUAUUAACUAUUACAAUUGUCUCACUUUGAGUUUAUUGUGUCAUUCAUUUGAUAUUAUAAUUUUGGCUCACUAUAUAAUAACUCGGUUUUAUUUUUGAUUUACUUCUUUGACUAAAGGUUGUCUUGUAUUUGGAUAAUUGGCUCGACUAAGAUUCUGCAAUAUGACAAAUAUGUUCAACCUUCGAAAAAAUCACUCAUCUUCUCGUCCAACACAAAGUACCUUUUGGACCAUCUCUCCUCAUCCUAUUCCUACUCACACCCUCUCUCAACAAAGGUCUCCAACACGCCUCAAUUUUGAUGCUUCACAAUAUGAGGGAAUAGGUGACAAAGUAGAGAAGUCUAAGCUAGAUGCACUGCAGCGAAAAUGCAUGACUUGGAGAAAAAGGUGAAUGGAGAAUUAAUCACAAUACCUACUCAUGACCUAAGGAAUAAAAAUUUAUGUCUACACCCAGGAGUUGAAUUGCCGUUGGGAUUUAAAAUUCCAAAAUUCAACAUGUUCGACGGACGUGGGGAUCCAAUGGCACAUCUCAAAGAUUUUUGCAGCAGGCUAGUUGGCUUAGAAAACAAUGAACCUCUCCUAAUGAGGUUAUUUAUUCAAAGCUUAUCAGGAAUAGCCUUCACUUGGUACGUCAAACAAGACUUUGGCAAAUGGCUCGCAUGGGAAGACAUGGCUCGAGACUUUGUGGAACAAUACAAGUUUAAUAACAAGGUUGACCCUACAAUGUUAAAUUUGCUCAAAUUGAAGAAAUUAAGCCAUGAAUCUUUUGAGGAAUAUGUCAUACGAUGGAGAAUGGAAGCCUCCAAGAUACGCCACUUACCACAUGAGGAGGAGUUGGUCCAAACUCUCAUCAGAUCACUUGAGGGUAUAUACUACAAAACCCUAUUCUUUGCUGGUAUUCAAAGUUUCGAUAGUCUAAUUCGAAUUGGAAAAGAGUUAGAAUAUGGCAUUCAGUCUGGAAGAAUUGUUGAUACACAAGUUCCUUUUCAAGUCCUGAAAGACUCAUUAGAUGAAAGGAAUGAAGAUGCAUCAACCUAUAUACCUCCGAAACAAAGAAAUCAGAAUAUUGAGCAAAUUCAUGCUAUUCUUGAGCCUUCCAACCCUCAGGUAUCUCAACAUAAGGUGAGGAAACCUCGUGUCUUCACUCCCUUAACGAAAACUUUGACCGACAUUUUCCAGAGAUUAUGGGAUAAAGGACAUCUAAGACCAAUAAAUGGAUGGAUUCCCAAGCACUCUACUUCAAACUUUGAUCUAUCCAAAAAUUGUGCCUAUCAUUCAAACAUUCAAGGUCAUGACACCGAAGAAUGUGCAGCAUUGAGAAAUAAGAUUCAGAAUAUGAUUGAAAAAGGAAAAAUUAUAGUGCAACAAGGACGACAAAACAACAAUUGCAAUCCUUCUAUGGCGAAUACAUUCAUCGUUCAAGGAGACCCUACGAAGAUGUACAUUAGGCACUUGACAAGGAAGCGUAAAUUACAUCACAGAAAUUGAUAUGGACAAGACUUUUAUGAAUAAAGUUGGCUUUAUUGUUCUCAUACCUUAUGCCCAAAGCCUUCUUCAUUCCUUUCAUUUUUCCUUGUAAUUCUGAACUACGUUUGACCUGAUUUCCUUUUGGAUACGUAGGCAACCCUUGAUGUGUCCGGUCUCUAUCAAAUAAUUUUUUUAAUUUAUUUCCCAUGGUCAUUCAAAACACUUCUUUACAAAUUCAAAUCUAGACUAAUUGACAAUCCAUGAACAUAAUUGACACUUGAAUUCGAAGUCGAGCCUUAAUGUCCAAAUACAAGACAAUCAUUUUUUUUUUGUAACUUACAAUUUUUCUUUGAGUGAAGCAGGAUCAAAAUUCCCCCCACUAAUAAACUGGGGCAGAAUUUUUGAGGAAACCUCAAAAAUUUUCACAGAGAUAUUUAACAAAGUGAGUAUAUAUCUUAUACUCUAAACUGGGGCAGAAAUUUUUGAGAAAUCCUCAAAAAUUUCAUCACAACGGAGCACAGGUAUGACCAUCUCUCGCCUUUUGAAUUUACGAUUUUUUCUCUGGAUGCAUGAAUAACUUAUAUGAGCGUACUGUCAUAUUUAGGAGCUACAAUGUAAGUCAUACUAUCCUCAGACUAUUUUUAAGAGGCUAUUAUCAACUUUCUUCUACGACUGACUGAAUAUAUAUUUAAGCUCUCCCGUCUUAUUAUAAUACGAUACUUAGGCUCUUCCGCCUUACAAUAGGACGUUUAGGCUCGUCCGCCUUACAAUAUGACGUUUAGGCUCGUCCGCCUUACAAUAUGACGUUUAGGCUCGUCCGCCUUACAAUACGAUAUUUAGGCUCGUCCGCCUUACAAUACGAUAUUUAGGGUCGUCUGCCUUACAAUACGACAUUUAGGCUCGUCUUCCUUACCAUACGACAUUUAGACUCUUCCGCCUUACAAUAGGAUAUUUAGGCUCAUCUACCUUACAAUACGAUGUUUAGGCUCAUCUGCCUUACAAUACGAUGUUUAGGCUCGUUUGCCUUACAAUAGGAUGUUCAGGCUCUUCCGCCUUACAAUAGGAUAUUUAGGCUCAUCUACCUUACAAUAGGAUAUUUAGGCUCGUUUGCCUUACAAUACGAUAUUUAAGCUCGUCUGCCUUACAAUACGACAUUCAGGUUCUUUCGCCUUACAACAGGAUGUUUAGGCUCUUCCACCUUACAAUAGGAUAUUUAGGCUCGUCCGCCUUACAAUACGACAUUUAGGCUCAUCUGCCUUACAAUACGACAUUUAGGCUCUUCCGCCUUACAAUAGGAUAUUUAGGCUCAUCCGCCUUACAAUACGAUGUUUAGGCUCAUCUGCCUUACAAUACGAUGUUUAGGCUCGUCUGCCUUACAAUACGGCAUUUAGGCUCUUCCGCCUUACAAUAGGAUGUUUAGGCUUUUCCGCCUUAAAAUAUGAUGUUUAGGCUCGUCCGCAUUUAAAAGACGUUUAGACUCUCCUUGCAACCAGAUAUUUUGCUUAUAUUAUUAUAUGUUUAUACUAUGAAAUAUUUUGGAGUUUGACGUUAUUCUUCAGAGAUGAGUUUCAAUCCUUAAGAAGUCAAAGACUAUCAAGGCUUGCACUACGUACUCAAACAGAUACGCUCCUUAUCACCUCUUGUUAUUUAUUUAGAACUCACAUUUCAUCAUUAUUGUUCAUACUUUAUCUAUUUUAUAAGCUAACAUUUUAUCUAGAAUUUGCAGAUAUAAUCGAUCGCCCUUGAUCACAAUUAUCAUGCUAUCCUCUAUCACAACAAAGACUCUAUCAAUUCUUCAAACCCCGAGCUUCGCUCAAAGGCUGAUAGCCUCACUCUAUCACGCUCUUCCUGUAUCUGUCACGCUCUUCUAGCCUCUCAAUCUCUCUCACUACUCUAAUUUUAUCCAUUCAAGCCGAUAUCGUGCCUUCCGAACACCUUAGCGCUCUUUCAACUUUUAAGAGCUUCAUUUGCUCAUGAAUCUAGAACUACACACGACCUGAUUCUCGUAUAACCAGAGAUAUGUAGGCGACUUAAAAUCAAAGUCUCGGUCGUACCCUUUUUCAACUCUAUAUCGUUUCAAUUGAUCCAACUGACAUCUCUCGUCGGUCGGACAAAAUCGGCUACUAAGUCAACGUUGGUUGCCUGACAAUUCAUUCUUCAUUCUCAAUCAACCAAGGGGCAGCUGUUGACACCCAAUUUUGACCGACCUUUAACCAUUUUUAGGAUUAUAUUCGACUAAAUACGUAUUUUAAAAUUUACUUAAAGUUUUGAAGUUUUAGUCGAUUUUUCUCAAAAAUUAUAUAUUUUAGUAUCAUUUUCUUUAUAAAAUUAUUGUAAAUAUUAUUUCAAAUGUUUUAAAAUUUAGAUGAUUUUCAAUUAUACAAAUAUUUUAAUGUAUGUAGUAUUUUAAUAAAAUUAUUUAAAUUCUAGCCUAUUCUAUUCUAAAAUCUUCCAAUUCUAGCCACUUAAAUUAGAGUUUUAUUAUAAUCAUAGCCUCUCUUUCAUUUCAAUUAUAGUCAUUCUAAUUGCAAUUUUAGCCAUUCUAUAUCUUUGUCAAUCUAAUUGCAAAACAUCAUCUUUUAAUCUCAUCCAUCUAUUUUAUUAAUCGAAUUCUAACCCAGAUCUAUCUAAUCUAACGGUUGAGAUCAUUUUUUUUAACUCUCUUUUAACACCAAAAGUCCCAAAACCUAAAACUUUUUUUUUCUCCCUCAACUCUUCUUGACAGCCUCCAACCGCCCCUCUCUCUCCCUCUCGUCUUCCUCCUCUCCCUCUCUCCAGCCGUCUCUCUCUCCCUCCAUUCUUUCCGGUGGAAAUCGCCACCUCCAAGUGGUGGCAGCCUCCUCUCUCUCCUCGCCCUUCUCCUUCCCUUCCCCUUCUUUCUCUCCAUUUUUUUUGUAGGCGAGAGCAGAGGACGACUCUGAGCAGACCACCGGCAGCAGCAGUCACCGGCGAGAACAGCCUGCGCAGCAGCAGCGCCUGGAGAGGCGCACGAUAGUAGCAGCAGCGGCCAGCAGACGACGACGACCAGCAGCUUGGUGAGGCCAUGGCAAGCAGCAGCUUUAAUCGACGAGCAACAGCAUCCGGCGACCCCUCUUUCCUUCUCUCCUCUUCAGCGACCAGCAGCCCUGCAAAGCUAGCUUUGAAUUCGAUCUGCAGCUCCAGCGACACCAGCGCCACCAGCAACAGCCAGCAGUCGCCGGCGAGAACUCCUGCGCCAGCCAGCAGCCCCGGCGGCCGUCUGUCUCUCCUCUCUUCUCUAUUUCCUUCUCUCCUCUUCUCAGGCGAGCAACGACCCCCUCAGCAACAGCAACCAGCAGCCAACGCCGCCAUCCUCCAGUGGAACUCCGGCCAAUAGUCUUUGGUAACGUGUAUUAGCCCAUUACUUUAGCCGCAAAAACAGAUCAGUCCUGGUAAUAUUUCCCUAUUUCGCUUCCUUUAUCAUUUUUAUUCCUUGUCUACUUGUGUGAUCUCACAUAUUUUUUUUAUUAUUAUUUUUAACUUUGUUGUUCAUGUUCUAGAAAUUCUGCUUGGUUAUGAUUCGUUAUGAAUUGAAUUGAGUUCUAAUAUGAUUAGAUUGCUUAUAAUGAUCUUUCAAUGAUAAAUACUCAUUUCAAUCUAAAUCAGCUCCAAAUUUGUUUGGUUCUUCCUAUUAAUUCAGUAUAUGUUUCACUAAUUGUAGUUGUUGAAUAUCUUGGAUAUAGAGUAGAUUAUUCAUUAAGUCUCUGUGUAAUUGAUUGUGCACCUUAGCAAUUUUAGAGUAAGUAGUACAUUUAUUCUGAUUUAAUAAUUGAUUUCUUGAUUCCGGAACUAAUUAUGAUGAGAUUAUGUGAUUUUUUAAAAAAUAUGUGAAAGGGAUUAACUCUAAUUCUGAGAUUUUUACGUGUUUCCAUCAUGGUAAGUAUAAAUCCCUAAUCUGCAUGACAAUAUGCCUUUCCUUAUAUCAUUUUACAUUGCAUAAAUUGGUCUUCUUAAUUGUUUACUUGCUUAUCUUAAAUAAAUCAAAAUAGAUUCGUACUAGCUUUAUUUUGGUAAAAUUAUGGAUGAUUUAUGUUGAUGUAUUUUUUUGUAAUAUUUUUAUCUAAAGAAAAUUAAUCCCUCCUCCCAUUGAUAUUUGGAUUGAUUAAUUCUUACUGGUUUGUUUAUGACAACCUUAUUAUUUCCUUGUCAUAUUUAGUCGCUCAUAUUUUGGUAAAAUAAAUUAAAUCUGAUUUUAAAUUUUUUUUUAUUUUAAGGAAAAUAUUUUUAUUCCAAAUUUUUAUUCUUACUUGUUUAUAUUUGGUAAUGAAAUAUUUUUAAAAUUAUUCUGAUUUGUCUCUCUUUUAAAAUAAGGAAAAGGGAAUAUUAAUUGAUUCCUUAAAAAUAUUUCUUUUCCUUAUUUGUUUCCCCCUCUUUGGUAUAUAAAUAAGACCCCUUUUACUCAUCAACUCAUCAACUCAACAACUCAGAUACUCAUUCACUCUCAAUCAAAAAAUUCUCUCAUCACUCUCCCUUCUCUCAUUGCUCUCUUGCUACUUUAACAAUACAUUGAGAAUCCGAUAAUUAUUAAAGUGUUCUUCUUCGCUAUUUUGCUACUUUGUUCGAGUAAAAGGUGAAUCAAUUUGUUUUGCUUAACCGUUAUUUGAUUACUUUGACAGGUUUCAAACUUGAAGUUCGAGUUGAAGAUUAACUGAAGAAGGAUUUAUUUAUUUGUUUGAAUAUAUAUAUAUAUCUAUAUAUUUUUAUUUUUUCGCUAUUUUAUUUAUUCGAAUGUUGUAACAAUUGUAAUCCUAAAGAUCAUAUAAUAAAUUUAUUUGUGGGUCGUCUAGGGGAGGGGGAUUUAUAUGUUUAUUAGUUCAUUCUAAUUUUUAGAAAUCAUGCCUAUAGGUUUGUCUUUAACCACCUAGAUUUAAUAUUUGUAGGUGUUAUAAUCUAAUCAAUUUUUAAUUUGCUUGAUGCUUUCGUUAAUAAAUCUUAAAAAUAAUAACUAGAUUCCAUUAAUUUUUUUUAAAUAUAAAAAUCAAGUCCUAAUAAUAUAAUAGGUUGUUAGAUGUUAAAAUAUGUAAUAAAUUUUCAGUCGUCUUAUAACGUAGAAACUAUGCCUAAGUAUUAAUUUGUUCAUAUCAUUUACAAAAGUAUGAAUAUGUGUUACUCCUUCUUUUGAACACCUAGGAAUCAUGUCUAUAGGUUUAUAAAUAAUUUUUAAUAGAACUUGUUUGUGCAUAUUUGUGCCCUCCCCCUAAAAUUAGUUAAUAUUAUUUCAUGUGUAAUCCCAUUCGUUUUCUUGAAGAUUUCCGCAUUCCUUGCAAUAUGUUAUUUUCUUAAAAUAAUACUAAAUUAGAGUCAUUUCAUGCAUUUAACUUGGCUUUAAAAAUAUUUCAUACCAAAACUUUGUAAUUUUCUUAAAAAGUCAUUAUUCAAUCUUCCUUUAAAAUUUUGGAUUGAUUUUGACAUUGUUUAUUUGAAAAUAAAUUACAAGUACUAUCUCCUAACCUAUCGUUAGUGGGAAAGUCAAAGGAACUAUGAGGUCUAGUUCCAAAUUUUUUAAACCGACGCAUCCUCGGAAGUACCACCUACCCAUGAAUUUCAAAAAGAAUUAUGUGCAUUUAUAUGUAAAUGUUUAUGUGCCUACGUGUGAACUAAAUCUUUUAAAUCAUUUUUUAAAACAUAACUAUUUUUUUUAUAUAUACCGACCUCAAAUCAAAAUUGUUUCUAUGGUGGAGGAGCGCGAUCAAUAAUAUCGUGGCAUCAUCCCUAUAAAGAAACAAACAUUUUUUUAAAUAAAAAUUCAUAUUCAAAACUUGCUCAAUUUUCAAAACCUUACUUUCUCACAUAUUAAUUGUUUAAUAUUUAUAAAUUUUGUUUAUAACUUAGUCUCAUGCUUAAAAUAAAUAAAACUUGAUUGUUUAUUUAUUGUCAUUACCUAGCCUUGCAUGCUUAAAUUAAUAGUAUUAAUUGUUUUAUAUUUGUUAUCACUUAGUAAGAUUAAAUAAAUUAAUAAAUUAAACGACCUUGAUUGCUACUUGUACCCCACAUAGAUUGCAUGAGAUACGGCCGGGACCCACACUUGUGGACCUCGAGGGAUGCCUAACACCUUCCCCUCGAGGUAAUUUGAACCCUUACCCUAAUCUCUGGCCCGUUGACCUUAGUUAGACUUAGUUAGGUUAGAUAGGCGCCCUAACGCGCCUUAAUUUGUUAGGUGGCGACUCCAAAACUCAAAAAUCCCAAAAGAGUUGUUAGGUCGUGCACAAAACCCGUUUUCCG
rnacentral:lncRNA from 1 species